CCUACGGGAGGCAGCAGUAGGGAAUAUUGCACAAUGGGCGAAAGCCUGAAGCAGCAACGCCGCGUGGGUGAUGAAGGUUUUCGGAUUGUAAACUCCUGUUGUCAAAGAAGAUAAUGACGGUAUGUGACGAAUAAGCACCGGCUAACUACGUGCCAGCAGCCGCGGUAAUACGUAGGGGGCAAGCGUUAUCGGGAAUCACUGGGCGAAAAGGGCGCGUAGGUGGUUUAUUAAGUCAGAGGUAAAUGGCUAUGGCGCAACCGUAGACAGCCAUUGAAAAGGGUGAUCUUGAGUAUGGGAGAGGUAGGUGGAAUUCCUAGUGUAGCGGUGAAAUUCGUAGAGAUUAAGAGGAACACCGAUUGCGAAGGCGGCUUUCUAGACUGUAACUGACGCUGAUGCACGAAAGCGUGGGGAGCAAACAGGAUUAGAUACCCUUGUAGUC
rnacentral:rRNA from 1 species